UCCGGAAUUCUGUACCUCGAGAUCCAAAGUGUCAGUCACUUAGAGUCCUGCAAUGUGGAUUUCCUUGUGAAUCCCUGUGUCAGGGGCCAUGCUGCUUAUUGUGUCUCAUGUAAAUAAAAUAACCCCGCUUCUCCUGCAGCUGUUUGUAUAAUUUCCUGUCUCUGUUCCAGAUUCCAGGCUGCCCUCAGCAUCUACUCCUCAAAUUCACACCUGGAUAAAUUUUUCCAUCUCAUUAAAGAUUCUGAUCCUUUUUUUGACUGAUUUAUUUAUCAGCCUAAUUAAAAUGUGUUGCUCUGAUAGUUCAAUUUUUUUUUUGCUUUUUCCUUUUCCUUUUUUGUUAAUGGAAAGGAAUCCUUUUUCUCUACCCAGUCUACUGUGUGCAUCAAAACUUGGUAGGAUGCCUGCUCAUGGAGAAACAGGAGGCAAGAGUUUAAGCAUGAACAGCUGUGAGAAUGACCUACAACAUGUGGGACAUUUGAGCAAAGACGUGGCUUUGAAGGAUAUUUAUUGAUAAAAGAAGAGAUGUUUGAAUAAUAAGUAUCCACAGCUGAGAAUGAUUUACAAAUGUAUGACUGCAGUGACUGGGUGUGAAAGAAAGCCUGUGCUGGGAUUUCUAUGCUCAAGUUGGAGUAGGGAAAAUUUCUGAUGCAUGUCAGAAGACAGAAGGUUCCAGACAUUCUCCUGGUGAAGCUCAGCAGCUGUAUUUUCUGAAAGCAAUGCCUGAAUCAAGGAUGAAAAUUGUCCUCUGAGUUAUGAGAAACACACACAGCCCAGCACUGCCCUUCCUCAGGAAGCUCCCAGACAGCUGUUGAAGCAUUGCUGUCCCUCUAUCCCAUGCCACACACUGUGUUGAGGGAACCUUAUAAGAAGUAAGUGACAUAGAGUAAAUAACUCCUCUCUAAGCUUGCAGGAGCCUCAGGACCUUCCAUGGCAGCAGAGCCAAAAGGUGAUGUCCUGUGCUGUUCUUACCAGUUGGCUGAGGUACAAAUCUACUAGGAUAUGCAAAAAAUCAAAAAGGAGAGGAUUCUGGUUUAUAGCUGAAACCAGAGUCUGCCACUAGAGGACAUUUAUUAGAAGUGGCUCAGACAUGCUUGCCCUCCUUUGGAGUUGUCCCUUUCUCUGCAGUGGAGUUCAUUGUUUUCAUCAGGGCUACUCACAUUCUUAAGUACAAACAGUUCUAAGUGGGGGUGAGAGAACUGUACCUUAAUUCUUAGACUAUUUCAGACCUCUUUGUCCAUCCCCUAAAAUUUUUAUGUCACCAGAGUAAAAAUUAUUCGCAUCAAAAAUCUUCAUCUUAGAUAAAAGAUUUGAGUUGCUGUUUAAAAAAAAAAAGUGACACUACCUCUCAAAAUGCUGCAGAAUCUCUUUGCAGAUAUGCAAUUUUCAUACUAUUGAAUUUUUUGACAUAUGGUUAUGUAAAAUAUCUAAUAGCAAACUCUAUCCAUUUACACCUUCCAGAAGGCAGUGACUUCAGAAGUUAAUGUGGGAUUAUUUUUAGCAUGUAUUCAAGUUUAUUCAUGCUGAAAGGUAGUACUUAUCUUUUGUAAUUUUAGAGUAGUUAUUUGAAUAAAAACAUGAGUAUAGUUCUAUUUUAACUGUCAUGUGACAUCUGGGAACUGGUUCAAACCUCUCUCUUUUAGAGAGGUGGAAAUCUCAGCAGUUUUUCUUUCCAACAUCUCAGUGGUACACACAAUACCUGUGUAUAUGUUGAGACCUAUGUCUGUAAAUAAUGUGAGUAACAAAAUAUGAGUAAUCUUCUAUACACUGAGAGAACAUUAUACCAGAAACAAUGAAAGCAUCUAUCGACCAGAGAAAGUGCAAUUUUCAGUGUUCUUUGUAGGAAAAGCUUGUUGCAGUUAAAUUACCCCUUUGAGUACAAAUUCCAUGUUAAGCUGUCACUAGAGAUAUUGUUAGAUAAAAAUCUGUGGCUGAGCAUUUUUCCUCAAGGGGGGUAAAUAUUUCUGUUAGCUAACUAACUGAGCACGUUCUCAAGUUCAGAGAUGAUCUGUGCAGAGGUUGCAAGUUUCUCAUGUUUUGGGGUCACUUUUUAUACAAGUCUUAGGUUGUUUCUACUCUGUAAUGGAAUAGUGAAAAACAAGGGGUCUGCAAAUUUACUGUGUAAUUUUGGUGGAAGGAGUUGAACUGUUUGUCCAAGAGGACACACAGGGAUUUGGCUGGGGCAGGUUAAUGCAAAGGCAACAGCAGGAGGUCAGCAAAAUUUCACAAAAUUUUAUUUGUUCCGAGUUUGAUUUACAGGAGGAGGAAUAUAAGCCUCUUAGAGAUGAUUGUGGAUCUGACACUGGGAAAAGCUUUGCAGUAAAAACAAUAAUUAAGUUACAAUGAUAAUGAGGCUAUACUUACUCAAUGCCAAGUGAUCUUUUUGCCUUUGCAGGCGAUGGAUGACUGUAAAUUUUUAUAUUCUAGAUAAUCUGGGUUGCUCCAACCUUGGGGCCUGCUUUGAUAGGUCUGUGCUGUAUCAUCCUGCAGAAGAAAAUACACCGAUAUUCACAGAAUAAUGCCUUUCACAGUCUCUUUCUCAAGCAAACAUGCCAUAAACAUAUUGGUGAUACUGGGUCCCUUUACAGUGAUGUUUGAAGAGUCGUUUUAUGAUGUAUUUCUUCUACUGAUCUAUAUUUCUAUUCAGUGCAUUUUGAAAGCAUUUUCCAGCUCUGAGUCCCAGUGAACCAGCUCUGAAUGUGCCACUUCCCUCGAUGAGAACUCUGAACCCUCAGGCAGUAUUUGGUAGCUCUUUCACACAGCUCAGUCCAUCAGUGGAGAGCAGAUUCAUGGCAGUGCUUCAUGACAUGACCAAUGCACAGGGAUGAGAGAGUGUGCUCAGCUUUCCCCUCACAAUAGCCGAGAGGAGCAACAGAGCCAUUCCUGUAGGAUGUCAGUGUUUCCUUCCACCAUGAGCUGUGUGUAGGGUUGUGGCAGGCACAGCAGAACUGUGCUCUGACAGGGGAGGCUGAACCUCAGCUCCUUCCCAAGGGCUGUACCCACCUCUUGCUGGGAUCCUAGCCACUCCUCAUGCCUUGAGGUCUUCUCAAAUCUGGUCUGACCCCCAACAGAUGAUGAGCAGAGUGGGUGACUCCUUCAGCCCCCUUAAAAUGUGAAACAGCCCUUAAUUUCAGCUGGUUGAACCUGCUACUGACUGCAGAUUUGGUGGUAGGGUGGAGAGGAAAUAAUAAUUUUGUUCUUAUGAGCUGCUAAUUUUCACACCAAGUGUGUAUCUUCUUCUAAUCCUUCGCCUGAAUGGAAUAUUUCCAUCACUUGUUAUUGGAACUAAUUUCAGAAGACUGUAAAGAGAUCUUGAGCCGAGCGAUCUAUUGUAAUUCACUGAGAAAAGACUCAGCAACCUACAGGGAUACAAAAAGAACUGAAGUAAAUCCUCUUUGUCUCAGUUACAGGUCUUUUCUCUUGAGUCUGGAAUUUCUUAGUGAGAAGCUCCAAGAGAUGUUCCCUCCCUCUUAGCACUGCUGCUGCAUAAGAAAUAAACUUCGGUCAAAAUUUUUUUUUAAUGAAGAACCCAUUUUGCAUGGAUCCUGCCACUUUUGUUACUGUUUCUGAUCAAAUUCGUCUAGUGGGAGGUGUCCCUUCCUGUGGCAGGGAGUUGAAACAGGCCUUUAAGAUCCCUUCCAACCCAAACCCUUCUAUAAUUCUGUGUUCUUUAACACUCCUCUGACCCAUAUCUCAUUUGUAGAGUGGCCACUUGGGCAGGUUGUUCCUGGGAGUGUUAGGAUCCAGUCCUCCAAGUUUUACAGAGG